rnacentral:lncRNA from 1 species
UGGCUCAACAUGCAAAUCAAAGUUGUUCAGUUAGAGAAAAUCAACCGAAGAAUUUACUUACCAAUGAAGUACCAUCGUUUAGUCUUGGUUUAACACAAGACGAAGUUUUUAAUUUGGGUUCUACUAAUGUUUUCUCUAAGGAAGGUGUUACCAUUGAAGAGUUGAGAUAUAAGCACCGUAACGAUCCUGAAAAGAUUGUGGAAAUAAUGAAAAGGAAAGGAUUGACAAAAACUUCAUCUCCCACAAAAUUUCAAAAAUCAGUGAAAAGGAAAAAGUCGGAUGAAAAAGAAGAAUGUAGUAAAAUUGCAAG